UGUGCCAUUGCGCUCCAGCCUAGGCAACAGAGCGAGGCUCCAUCUCAAAAAAAAAAAAAGUGAAUCUACAAAGAAAAGUAGAUUCGUGGUUGCUCAGGGCAGGGAAUUGACUGUGGGGGAAAAGGGGUAAGACCUAGAAGGUAUGAGGUUUCUUGUAGAGGUGAUGAAAAUGUUCUAAAAUUGACCAUGGUGAUGGUUGCAGUAUUGAUUAAUACACCCAAACCCACUUAAUUGUACACUUUAUGAUCUGUAAGUUAUAUCAAUAAAGGCUUUUUCAAAAAGAAAAGAAACAAAUAUAAAGAAAAAAACCUCACAGUAAAGAAAAUGUCCUCUCUGACUUGUAGGUCUUGAUUAGUUCUAGGAAGAAAAUUGAUUCACCUAGUUUCUGAGAAAUGUUUACUCUAAUUAAAUGAAUUACUUCCAGGGGAUAGCAGGAGUACGGAUUCCCUCUAACCUGCCUCAUACUUCCUGGUGUUACCUAAUCCACCUGGGCUUCCUCCAUCACAGUCCUCCACAUUCUACUCCGUGCUUCCUUCAUCAGAGCUAUGCUGGGCUAUGCUGGGCCGUCACUGUAAAGGAUGGAGCACUCUUCCCUGCUGGGCUGUGAGCCCUAUGUGAGCUUUCUCCCGCCAAGGCCCAUCUUCUCGUGACUGAGAGCUCCAUAACCACCCAGUCACCUAGUGGCCCUCCCCCUUGUGGCCCUCAUACCUUGGUCUUCUGGAACUCCUCCAGUAGGUAGCUGGCCUCCUCCUGAAUUCGCUCCUUAAUGCUCUGCUUUCCCAUCCCGAAGUCCCGAAGGAUGGUCAGGGAGAAGCGUCGGAGAAUCCUCCAUCGUUCUCCAUUGGCCAGAGCUACACCUGCCAAGAUCUCAGUCUCAGGCUUCUGCCUCCCUCCCCUUGCUGUGUUCAACUCUGUGCUUAGGCAGUGAUGGGGAAAGAUUAUGAAAGCUCUAGACUCUGCUGUCCAGGAAGCCAUCCUCAACCUUCAAGACUCAAUCAAGAGAGUAAGGUUCCCUCUCUGCAGGAUCCUCGGGAAAGAAAAAAAAAAAGUCCAGACUCAGGUGGAGGAAAAGGGAAUCAGUGCAGGAAUGAUAGGGGGAGAUCAAAGAGUGUUUCUUACAGGAAGCAGAGGUGGAACUGGAUAAAUAAAAAAAUAACUGAGUGAAUAACA
rnacentral:lncRNA from 1 species